rnacentral:rRNA from 1 species
AGAGUUUGAUCCUGGCUCAGGACGAACGCUGGCGGCGUGCCUAAUACAUGCAAGUAGAACGCUGAAGAGAGGAGCUUGCUCUUCUUGGAAGAGUUGCGAACGGGUGAGUAACGCGUAGGUAACCUGCCUUGUAGCGGGGGAUAACUAUUGGAAACGAUAGCUAAUACCGCAUAACAAUGGGUGACCCAUGUCAUUCAUUUGAAAGGGGCAAAUGCUCCACUACAAGAUGGACCUGCGUUGUAUUAGCUAGUAGGUGAGGUAACGGCUCACCUAGGCGACGAUACAUAGCCGACCUGAGAGGGUGAUCGGCCACACUGGGACUGAGACACGGCCCAGACUCCUACGGGAGGCAGCAGUAGGGAAUCUUCGGCAAUGGGGGCAACCCUGACCGAGCAACGCCGCGUGAGUGAAGAAGGUUUUCGGAUCGUAAAGCUCUGUUGUAAGUCAAGAACGAGUGUGAGAGUGGAAAGUUCACACUGUGACGGUAGCUUACCAGAAAGGGACGGCUAACUACGUGCCAGCAGCCGCGGUAAUACGUAGGUCCCGAGCGUUGUCCGGAUUUAUUGGGCGUAAAGCGAGCGCAGGCGGUUUGAUAAGUCUGAAGUUAAAGGCUGUGGCUCAACCAUAGUUCGCUUUGGAAACUGUCAAACUUGAGUGCAGAAGGGGAGAGUGGAAUUCCAUGUGUAGCGGUGAAAUGCGUAGAUAUAUGGAGGAACACCGGUGGCGAAAGCGGCUCUCUGGUCUGUAACUGACGCUGAGGCUCGAAAGCGUGGGGAGCGAACAGGAUUAGAUACCCUGGUAGUCCACGCC